UACGUAGGGGGCAAGCGUUGUCCGGAAUCAUUGGGCGUAAAGCGCGUGUAGGCGGCUUCGUAAGUCCGUUGUGAAAGUCCAGGGCUCAACCCUGGAAUGCCGAUGGAUACUGCAGAGCUAGAGUCCGGAAGAGGCGAGUGGAAUUCCUGGUGUAGCGGUGAAAUGCGUAGAUAUCUGGAGGAACACCGGUGGCGAAGGCGGCAUCCUGGACCAACACUGACGCUGAGGAGCGAAAGCCAGGGGAGCAAACGGG
rnacentral:rRNA from 1 species